UUUUUUUUUUGCCACUUCAAGCAAUGGUUAAAUGUAUCCUUUAAAAAUGAUACUAUCUCACUAACUGAGACCCUUUAAUAGCUAUAAUUAUUAGCCACUUUUUCUUGGUAACUUGUGUUGCAGUGUACUUUUCUGAAAAAGGGUAGGGUAAUUGUUCUUCAACUGUAGCCUAUUGUAACUUUAGUAUAGGGAACAAUUCUCAAUAUUAACUAGUUGCUUAUAAGUAUGCCUAUUAUUACUUAUGAAGCACAUAAUCUGUAUGAUCAUAUUCUACAUCCCUAAUCUUACCCAAUACCUAAACUUAACCACUACCUUACUUACUUGGAAUAAGCAGCAAAUUUUAUUGAGUUUAUUGAGGCAAAAGUCAUAGUUAAUGAUUUUUUUUCAUAGUGAGAAUUGGACUUUAAAAUGAAGUGUGACUGUAACUUUUUUACUAGAAAUUAUGAGUAGUUUAGUGAGUAGUUUGUCAGCAAUGGAGAGAUGUGUUGUUGGGGCGUGUGCUUGUCUUUUCACAGGAAGUUGACAUUAUCUCUCAUGCUGCAGACCCCUAACUGUAUAGGAAGUCAGUCACAGUAUUGCUGAGCGCAGCUCAUUCAUUUAUGGGACAAUAUGGAGCUCAGCUGGUUCAUACUCACUUUACUGCUGACUGUCUAUAAAUCCAAUGGAGAAAUCCACCAAGAGCCAGAAAUCUUUGCCAACAGCAGUUCAGAUGUGACACUGACAUGUGACCAUGAUAAUUCCGACCACUACAGAUUGUUCUGGUACAAGCAAACAAAGGGGAGUGUGGACUUGUCUCUAUUGAUAUUUUCUAUUGGCCAAAAUCAAGUAGAGAUUGAAGAACAAUUUAAAACUCACGAAUCUAAGUAUGCAGCAACCCGUCCUGAAAUAAAGAAGUCCACACUGCAGAUUAACAAGCUAGAGACUAAUGACUCGGCUCUCUAUUAUUGUGCCACGAGCACACAGUAUUAUAUUACAGCUGUACUGCUAAACAACAACCACAACGUUAAAACUGCACUGUGCUUUCAUCUCUCAUUUAUGAUGUAAUUUCCUGUUCCUUUUGAUCACAGA